UGUGUAGGCGGUUGUUUAAGUUUGGUGUGAAAUCUCCCGGCUCAACUGGGAGGGUGCGCCGAAUACUGAAUGACUUCGAGUGCGGGAGAGGAAAGUGGAAUUCCUGGUGUAGCGGUGAAAUGCGUAGAUAUCAGGAGGAACACCGGUGGUGUAGACGGCUUUCUGGACCGCAACUGACGCUGAGACACGAAAGCGUGGGUAGCAAACAGGAUUAGAUACCCUGGUAGUCCACGCCCUAAACGAUGCAUAUUUGGUGUGGGCAGUUCAUUCUGUCUGUGCCGGAGCUAACGCGUUAAAUAUGCCGCCUGGGGAGUACAGUCGCAAGGCUGAA
rnacentral:rRNA from 1 species